GGAACGGGAUAGUGUCUGGAAACGGACAGUAAUACCGUAUAACGUAUUUUUACCGCAUGAUAGAAAUACCAAAACUGAGGUGCCGAAGGAUGGGCUCGCGUCUGAUUAGAUAGUUGGUGGGGUAACGGCCUACCAAGUCGACGAUCAGUAGCCGGACUGAGAGGUUGAACGGCCACAUUGGGACUGAGACACGGCCCAGACUCCUACGGGAGGCAGCAGUGGGGAAUAUUGCACAAUGGGGGAAACCCUGAUGCAGCAACGCCGCGUGAAGGAAGACGGUUUUCGGAUUGUAAACUUCUGUUCUUAGUGAAGAAUAAUGACGGUAGCUAAGGAGCAAGCCACGGCUAACUACGUGCCAGCAGCCGCGGUAAUACGUAGGUGGCAAGCGUUGUCCGGAAUUACUGGGUGUAAAGGGAGCGUAGGCGGGAUGCCAAGUCAGCUGUGAAAACUAUGGGCUUAACCCGUAGACUGCAGUUGAAACUGGUAUUCUUGAGUGAAGUAGAGGUUGGCGGAAUUCCGAGUGUAGCGGUGAAAUGCGUAGAUAUUCGGAGGAACACCGGUGGCGAAGGCGGCCAACUGGGCUUUAACUGACGCUGAGGCUCGAAAGUGUGGGGAGCAAACAGGAUUAGAUACCCUGGUAGUCCACACUGUAAACGAUGAUAACUAGGUGUGGGGGGUCUGACCCCUUCCGUGCCGCAGCUAACGCAAUAAGUUAUCCACCUGGGGAGUACGACCGCAAGGUUGAAACU
rnacentral:rRNA from 1 species